UUCAUUCAUACACAGUUAUAUAUAGUUAUCAGAACCUAUGGUCAGUAAACAUUUCUAAAUGCUCAUCAGUGUUCCAAACAUAUCAGGGGAACCAGUCCUCAAUAUUUCAAGGUAUGUUCUUUCUAUUUUCCCUAAGUGUUGGCCGGUCUGAGAAAUAAAGAGAAAGAGUACAAAGAGAGGAAUUUUACAGCUGAGCCUCCGGGGGUGUCAUCACAUAUUGGUAGGACCGUGAUGGUGACCUCAAGCUGCAAAACCACUUUCCCCAGGAAAAGAUGGACCAGCAUGGAGAUUUUAAGCCUGGGCAAUUUAUAUUCCCUUCACUUCGUGUUUGGCAAGAAGUAGAACAUAAAGAAGGAGCUAAAAUUGUGGACAAAAAAUAGUAGAUAAGCAGAGGCUCAGAAGUCCAGGACCAAGGUUCCAGCUGUCUGGCUACAUCUACAUAUGGAGGAAGGCAGAAGGUCAAGCUCCCUGCAUAGUGCGUAAAGCCUUUUUUAUAAGGCCCUUAAGCCCACUCACGAGGAAGGAACCUUCAUGACCUCAUCACUUCUCUCUCUCUUUUUCAAAUUUCAUCUUUUAUUUUCGAUACAGGGGGUCCAUGUGCAGGUUUGUUACAAAGGUAUAUCGCACCCAAGUAGUGAGUAUAGUACUUAAUGGGUAGUUUUUCAUCCCAUGCCCCCAUCCCUCCCUCCCUCCUCUAGUAGUCCACAGUGUCUGUUGCUCCCAAGUUUAUGUCCACGUUAUGUACUCAAUGUGUAGCCCACACUUAUGUGAGAACAUAUGAUUUUCUGUUCCUAUGUUAUCUCACUUAGGAUUAUGGUCUCCAGCUUCAUCCAUGUUGCUGCAAAGGACAUUGUUUCGUUCCUUUUUAUGGCUGCACAGUAUACCAUAGUAUAUAUGUACCAUAUUUUCUUGAUCCAGUCCACCAUUGUUGGGCACCUCGGUUGAUUCUAUGUCUUUGCCAUUGUGAAUGAUGUGGUGAUAAACAUGAAUGAUGUGUCUUUCUGGUAUAAUGAUCUAUUUCCCUUUGAGUAUAUACCCAGUAAUGGGAUUGCUGCGUCGAAUGGUAACUCUGUUUUAAGUUUUUUGAGAAAUCUACAAACUGCUUUCCAAAGUGGCUGAACUAAUUUUCAUUCCCAUCAACAGCAUAUAAAUGUUCGCUUUUCUCCACAGCCUCGCCAACAUCUGGAAUAACUGGCUAGCUAUAUGUAGAAUGAAACUAGAUCCUUAC